CCAGCCGGUCGGACGGCCGCUGCCAGCGCUCUCGCUUUCUGGCGACAAGGCGCUGGGAGAGGAAAGUCCGGGCUCCAUGGAAACACGGUGGCGGCUAACGGCCGCCGGGGGCGACCCCAGGGAAAGUGCCACAGAAAGCAAACCGCCGACAGCGGCUCGCCGAGCCGCUGGGCAAGGGUGAAAGGGUGCGGUAAGAGCGCACCGCGCGACUGGCAACAGGAGCGGCAUGGCAAACCCCACCGGGAGCAAGACCAAAUAGGGGUGGCCAGGCGAGCGGGAGUGUCCCCGUGGCGCCAAGCCCGUUUCCAGGCUCGCCACCCGGGUUGGUUGCACGAGGCGCGCGGCAACGCGCGUCCUAGAUGAAUGGCCGUCGCGGAGAGGCAACUCUCCAGACAGAACCCGGCUUACAGACCGGCUGGCAAA
rnacentral:RNase_P_RNA from 1 species